rnacentral:rRNA from 1 species
ACGCUGGCGGCGUGCUUAACACAUGCAAGUCGAACGAGAAUCUGUGGAUUGAGGAUUCGUCCAAAUGAAGCAGAGGACAGUGGCGGACGGGUGAGUAACGCGUGAGGAACCUGCCUUUCAGAGGGGGGACAACAGUUGGAAACGACUGCUAAUACCGCAUAACGCGUAGAGGUCGCAUGGCCUUUACGCCAAAGAUUUAUCGCUGAAAGAUGGCCUCGCGUCUGAUUAGCUAGUUGGUGAGGUAACGGCCCACCAAGGCGACGAUCAGUAGCCGGACUGAGAGGUUGAACGGCCACAUUGGGACUGAGAUACGGCCCAGACUCCUACGGGAGGCAGCAGUGGGGAAUAUUGGGCAAUGGGCGCAAGCCUGACCCAGCAACGCCGCGUGAAGGAAGAAGGCUUUCGGGUUGUAAACUUCUUUUGUCAGGGACGAGUAGAAGACGGUACCUGACGAAUAAGCCACGGCUAACUACGUG